CUAAAUUACUAAGGGCGCACAAAGGAUGUCUUGGCGAAGGAUAGCGAAGAAGGACGUGGUAAACUGCGAUAAGCCUCGGGAAGGUGUAAACAACCUUUGAUCCGAGGAUUUCCGAAUGGGGGAACCCGUUCCGAUGUAAAUCGGAACAUCCCGAGAUAAAUUAAUAGUUUCGGGAAGUAAACCCGGAGAAGUGAAACAUCUCAGUAUCCGGAGGAAAAAAAAUCAAAACGAGAUUCCCCGAGUAGUGGCGAGCGAAAGGGGAGAAGCCUAAACUUGCCGGUGCUUCGCACCGGAAAUUCCAGAAUUCGAAUUAAGUUUGAAAUUUGGUGCUUGGAAUUUGGAAUUUCAAGUGCGGAGCAUUGGUGGGGGUUGGAGGGUCCAUCUACCCCGAUGUUACAUCGGGGGAGGAGUCAACAAUUAGGUAAUUAGGUGAAUGGUCCUGGAAAGGCCGACCAAAGAAGGUGAAAGUCCUGUAGACGAAAAUUACCUAACUCCUGAUGGAUACCUAAGUACUGCCAGACACGUGGAAUCUGGUAGGAAUUUGGGUAGACCACUAUCCAAGGCUAAAUAUGUUCCUUCGACCGAUAGUGGACAAGUACCGCGAGGGAAAGAUGAAAAGAACCCCUGACGGGGAGUGAAAGAGAACCUGAAAUUGUGUGCCUACAAGCAGUCGUAGUCCCAUGCACCUUUCUUUGAAAGGUGCGGGAUGACGGCGUGCCUGUUGAAGAAUGAUCCGGCGAGUUAUUGGUACAAGCGAGGAUAAAUCUUGAGGUUGAUUGCUUCAGAUGUAUCCGUAGGGAAACCAAGUCUGAAUAGGGCGAGACCCUUCGUUUUCACUCAGGGUCAUCUUGAGUAGAACCGAAGGAUGAGUUUGUGCCAGUAGACCCGAAGCCAAGUGAUCUAUCCCUGACCAGGAUGAACUUCGAUGAAAAUCGGAGGGAGGUCCGAACCAUUUGCUGUUGCAAAAGCACUGGAUGAGUUGGGGAUAGGGGUGAAAGGCUAAUCUAACUUGGUGAUAGCUGGUUCUCCCCGAAAUAGCUUUAGGGCUAGCCUGUCCCGAAAAACCCGGGGGUAGAGCACUGGAUAGAUUCUUUCCGGGUGUAACCCAUCCGGAAAUUCUAACCAAACUCCGAAUACCGGGUGUUAGUCGGGAUGGAGUCAGUGCGUGAGGGAUAAGCUUCACGCGCAAAAGGGGAACAGCCCAGACCAUCCGCUAAGGUCUCCAAAAGUAAACUAAGUGGUAAAGGAUGUAUGAUUGCUCAGACAACUAGGAGGUUGGCUUAGAGGCAGCCAUCUUUUAAAGAGUGCGUAACAGCUCACUAGUCGAGCGGUCGUGCGCCGAAAAUAUGCGAGGCUCAAGUUUACUACCGAAGCGAUGGCCCUGAACCAAGCCGCAAGGCGUCUGGUUCAGAGGGUAGGGGAGCGUUCUGAACAUGGUGAAGGUAGACCGUAAGGACUACUGGAAUGUUCGGAAGUGAGGAUGUCGGAAUAAGUAGCGAUAAAGCCGAUGAGAAUUCGGCUCGCCGUAAGCCUAAGGGUUCCUUGAGUAAAGUUCGUCUGCUCAGGGUUAGUCGAUCCUAAGUUGAGGCCGAAAGGCGUAAACGACGGAUAUCCGGUUAAUAUUCCGGAACUAACUUGAAUACGUUAGUCACUAACUAUGUGUGCAUAAGAGUAAAGUCAGUUUCGUGUUGGAUUACGAGAUUUAAUUCAGAGGUGACUCUGAAGAAUACGAUUCCAACGCAAGUUGGAAGAAGUGAUUGAAUCUUGUGCCAAGAAAAACAUAGUUUAGGAGUAAUCAAGUUAAUCGUACCGUAAACCGACACAGGUAGGCGACCAGAAUACGGCAAGGCGCGCGAGUGAACCCUCGUUAAGGAACUCGGCAAAAUUGCCCCGUAACUUCGGGACAAGGGGUUCCCCCCAUUUUUGCUUUCGCAAGAAAGCAUUGGGGGGACUCAGUAAAGUGGCUCCCGCGACUGUUUAACAAAAACACAGGCCUCUGCUUAAAUCACAAGAUGAUGUAUAGGGGCUGACGCCUGCCCGGUGCUGGAAGGUUAAGGAGAGUUGUUAUUCUGACGAAAGUUGGGAGAAGCAGCGAACCGAAGCCCCAGUAAACGGCGGCCGUAACUAUAACGGUCCUAAGGUAGCGAAAUUCCUUGUCGGGUAAGUUCCGACCCGCAUGAAUGGCGUAACGAAGGGAGCGCUGUCUCAACGAGGGGCUCGGCGAAAUUGGAAUACCCGUGAAGAUACGGGUUGCCUGCAGUGGGACGAAAAGACCCCGUGGAGCUUUACUGUAGUCUAAUCUUGGAUUAGGAGAUAAUCUGCGUAGGAUAGGUGGGAGGUGAUGAACUCUGACUUUUGGGUUGGAGGGAGCCAAUCUUGAAAUACCACCCUGACUAUCUUUUGGUUCUAACUUCAUUCCCUGAAACGGGAAGAAGAACAGGGUUAGAUAGGCAGUUUAACUGGGGCGGUUGCCUCCUAAAUUGUAACGGAGGCGUCCAAAGGUUCCUUCAGUCCGUAUAAAAGUCGGAUAUUGAGUGCAAAGAUAAAAGGGAGCUUGACUGCAAGACUGACAAGUCGAGCAGGGUGGAAACACGGGCUUAGUGAUCCGGUGAUUCUGUGUGGAAGGGUCAUCGCUCAACGGAUAAAAGCUACCCCGGGGAUAACAGGCUUAUCUNNCGGUACGUGAGCUGGGUUCAGUACGUCGUGAGACAGUACGGUCUCUAUCUACUGUAGGCGGAGGAAACUUGAGGGAGGCUGUCCCUAGUACGAGAGGGCCGGGACGGGCGCACCGCUGGUGUACCAGUUGUUCUGCCAAGAGCAAUCGCUGGGUAGCCAUGUGCGCUAAGGAUAAAUGCUGAAAGCAUCUAAGCGUGAAGCCUUACCCAAGAUGAGGUUUCCCCCCCGACGUAACGUCGGGGCUAAAGGUCACUUGUAGACUACGAGUUUGAUAGGCUGGAGGUGGAAGGUCUGUAAGGACUUGAGCUGACCAGUACUAAUCGACCGUGCGGUUUAGCCG
rnacentral:rRNA from 1 species